GAUGAAACGCUGGCUGUGUGCCUAAUACAUGCAUGUCGAGCGAAGCACUUUUGUGCUUAGCGGCGAAUGGGUGAGUAACACGUACUUAACCUACCCUCAAGAUUGGGACAACACUUGGAAACGAGUGCUAAUACCAAAUACGUAUUUUUAUCGCAUGAUAGAUAUAUAAAAGGAGCUUCGGCUUCACUAGAGGAUGGGAGUGCGCUACAUUAGUUAGUUGGUAGGGUAAUGGCCUACCAAGACUAUGAUGUAUAGCGGGGCCGAGAGGCUGAUCCGCCACACUGGGACUGAGAUACGGCCCAGACUCCUACGGGAGGCAGCAGUAGGGAAUUUUCCACAAUGAACGAAAGUUUGAUGGAGCGACACAGCGUGCAGGAUGAAGGUCUUCGGAUUGUAAACUGCUGUUAUAAGAGAAGAAAAACCCUGGUAGGUAAUGACCAGGACUUGACGGUACCUUAUCAGAAAGCGACGGCUAACUAUGUGCCAGCAGCCGCGGUAAUACAUAGGUCGCAAGCGUUAUCCGGAAUUAUUGGGCGUAAAGAGUUCGUAGGUGGUUUUGUAAGUCUGAAGUUAAAUACCGGGGCUCAACCCCGGCCCGCUUUGGAUACUGCAAAACUAGAGUAAUAGAGAGGUUAGUGGAACUCCAAGUGAAGCGGUGGAAUGCGUAGAUAUUUGGAAGAACACCAAUGGCGAAGGCAACUAACUGGAUAUUAACUGACACUGAGGAACGAAAGCGUGGGUAGCAAACAGG
rnacentral:rRNA from 1 species